CAACUGGACAACAUUUCCUCUCCACAGGUACAUUUCCCCGAUUGUCUUCAUAUUUAGGAUGAGAAUCUACUGACAAAAAAUCCUGGCUUAUCGAAUUCCUGUAAAAAAAACAGAGAGGAGGAAGUUACAGUGAAGCCUGCAGUGAUUGGAUGAAGAGAAGCAGCACAGAACAGCAGACUCAUGAAGGAAGCCAAUGCAUGGUGAUAAUGGCUAUAAACUUUCCUCGAGGCUUAUGACUCCCUAGUUGAAAGGCUGUAUGGUAUCCUAAAAACCAGGUUCCGCUGGUUGGAUAUAACUGGUGGGGCACUUCUUUAUUCCCCAGAAUUCGUUGGAUAAAUCAUCUUGGCUUGUUGUGUCCUGCACAAUAUUGCAACAUCACAUUCAAUUCCUAUUGAAGUAACCGAGAAGCUCCGGGAACAUAUUCCUUGGCAAGGACAUUAUGGACAAGAACCAAGCAGCGCUGGCAUUACGCAACGUGAGGAGGUGACUUCACUUUUUUUUUUACUCUAAAGAAGCAACUUACAGAGGGACAGUGUUUAAGUUGUUUAAACAGUAGUUUUUGAAAUACUUCAUAUGCAAUAUGUGCUUUUUUUAACCUUGUCAUAUUAAAAUGCAUUAUGUACCGUAUUUAUCGGCGUAUA